rnacentral:lncRNA from 1 species
CAAACCCUAGGAGAGCGAAGAUGAAGUACAAUCCAAGAGUGACCAGCUCUCGCCGCAAGAACCGAAAGGCUCAUUUCACGGCGCCGUCGAGCGUCCGCCGUGUGUUGAUGAGCUCUCCUAUCUCGUCAGACCUCCGGUCCAAGUACAAUGUCCGGUCCAUGCCGGUUCGCAAGGAUGACGAGGUUCAGGUGGUGCGUGGGACCUACAAGGGUCGCGAGGGCAAGGUAGUCCAGGUUUACAGGCGCAAAUGGGUCAUCCACAUAGAGCGCAUCACCAGGGAGAAGGUCAAUGGGUCGACGGUGAACGUGGG